GAUGAACGCUGGCGGCGUGCCUCAAACAUGCAAGUCGAGCGGGGCUAUGUAAUAUCGCAAGGUAGAACAUAGCCUAGCGGCGAACGGGUGAGUAACACGUGGGUAACCUGCCUGGAAGACAGGGAUAACGAUUCGAAAGGGUCGCUAAUACCUGAUAAUAUCCUUUCAUCGCAUGGUGAUAGGAAGAAAGGGGAAACCCGCUUUCAGAUGGGCCCGCGUCCCAUCAGCUAGUUGGUAAGGUAAAGGCUUACCAAGGCGACGACGGGUAGCCGGUCUGAGAGGAUGUACGGCCACACUGGGACUGAGAUACGGCCCAGACUCCUACGGGAGGCAGCAGUUGGGAAUCUUAGGCAAUGGACGAAAGUCUGACCUAGCGACGCCGCGUGAGGGAAGAAGGCCUUCGGGUUGUAAACCUCUGUCAUGGGGGAAGAAGUAAGUGACGGUACCCCAAGAGGAAGCCCCUGCUAACUACGUGCCAGCAGCCGCGGUAACCCCACGAGAGUA
rnacentral:rRNA from 1 species